CUGAAAGCCAACCCCUUGAACUCCUCCCCACCCUGAGUGCUCGGGGGAGGCAGGAAUGUGUUGCAUUCAUCCCGAUGACCAAUAUCUUAGGCGGUGCCUGGCACACGGUCCUCCCCAAAGGAACGCUGGACUUCACUGGCUAGACUGUGGAUGUGACAGUGCCAUUUCUUCUGAGAAGUCCUAACGGGUCCUGAGAACUGACCCAGCUGCACAUUUAUGUCUGACUAAUUGGGAUCUCAGUGACACCCCACAGGGCAACUGAAAUUCAAUAUUUGACUCUACGGUUCAUCCCUGGUAAGAAGUCUUUGGUAACACCAAGCAAAGUGACUGGGACUUAACCAUAAAGAAGACUGAAGAAUCCUAAAGGGAAGAAUCCUAAAGGGAAGUUCAGAUUGGACUAGGAAGUCUUCCUGGGGAGAGAGGAGUCAGGGAGCAUAUCUCCAGGAUGGCCCACUCAUCCCAUGGUGGGUGUUGAACAACCCAAAGGCCAUUUAAUAGAAAAUGCUUACCCCUGUUAAUUUCAGUAACUUAGCCUUUCAAAUUAGGUUAUAAAGCCCACAGAGUCUUAGGUUUCAUUUGUUUUGUCAUGCAAGCGGGAGAAGAGGAAAUGGGAACAGCUUUGUAUGUGAUUUGAUAGAGAAACCCACAGAAUAGCGUCAAAAUACAGAGGUGUCAGUUUCUAGAUAACAGCCCAUUCUUAAUGGAGAAAUGGGUCAGAAUUACAGGUGUCUUUGGGUUUGUUUUUUGUUUUGAUUUGUCUUUUACAGAACAUGGCAACCACUUCUAUAGCCUUAAGAAUCUUACCAGACCCUAUUUAAAAAGAAAACAAAGAUUUAUUUAUUUCUUUUAGAAAGAGAGAGCGUGUGUGCGCAUGCAUGUGGGGAGGGGCUGAGAGAAGCCUCCAGGAGUCUCCGCCGCACACGACACUGGAGCCCACCACCCACGAGAUGGUGACCUGACCUGAAACCAAGAGUCAGAUGCUUAACCAACAGAGCCACCCAGGCGCCCCCUUACCAGACCAUUUUGUGGAGUGAAUGCUUGCAGGGACAGAUUUAGUCUAACCAAGUCCAGCCGAGAACAGCGACAGAUAUUCACAGGUGUCCACACACUGCCCUGGAGAACAGGAUUUAUAUUCUUGGAGAAAUCUUCGUCCUACCCCCUUAUCAGAUCUGAAUCCUUGAACUGGUUUUCUGAUGGAGAUGCUUCUUCCUCAGCUGCGGAGGGAGAGACCAUCUUUGGUAGUUCUUUCUUGAGAACUUAAGUUCAUGGUGAUGGCUUGCAUUUUGAGGGCAUUAGAAGGAAAUCCCAUCCGUUGGCCUUAGAAGGAAAAAGCAGGCCUGCUGGGCUCAGUCAGUUUUACUAGCAGAAAUGGGAAAAGAAUGAAGAGGAUUGACUUGCUAACUGUGAACUGGGGAGCAGAAAUGGUUUUUGUUUGCGACACGUCCUUUGGAUUCCGUUUCAUGGUGGAAAUUCUGACCUUCUUUAGGUGAGGGGAUUAGGUUUACGACUCUCCGGAGGCUGUGAGUAUGAUACGGGUUGUGUAAAUGAUGGUCUUUUUAGGCGCUAUUUGCCCCUGGGCUUCAGGGAACACAUAUGAAAAGGGACUCCGGAAGGAUACAGUUCAUUUCAAACCUUUAACAAAUCCACAUCACGAGAACCCAAUUAAGAUGACUUGCUAUAAAAAAGGAUUUACCACUUUGCAGCAACCCACCACGUGAUUGCUUUAAAUAGACCGUUCUUCUGCAUUUCGUAUCCUUUUUUUCCCCCCCAAAAUGAAUGUUUUUUUUUUUUUUUUUUUUUUUUUUUUGAGACUGCACUGUGUGCCUAGAUCUGCAGGAAAAGCACACAGGCCAGAUCUCUAAAGCGAACGAUGCCCCCUCAUUCUGUGCCAGUGAGUUUUGGGGUGUCUUGGAGCACCCCCUCCAGGGCCAGGUGAAACAGUCGUGCCACCCAGGAAAGUGGGAAAUGCUGCCGAAGAACAGCACCCACAUCCCAGCGGUCCUGCGGGGGGCUGGCCACCCCUCUCCAGAUGCCGGCAAGAUAACAUGUGCAAGGGCUCACAGACCCCCUGCCGGAAGCCACGCAGCCUGGGGAGCAAAGCUGGGAAGAUGACGUGCCAAUGGCCCAAUGCCGGCAAGGCGCCCAGGGCGAGGGCGGCCAUCGGGACAGCUCUGCGUCACUCUAUUAUAAUAGUUGGUUCUAUUUAAUUCACUUUACUUAAAAUAGGGCCAGUUUUACCCCAAGGCAGAAGACACUGUGGAGGCAGAUCGAGAGUUGAGGUCCAGGAAGCAAAAGUGUCGCCUCCCUUGCCUCUGUCCUGGAGGACUGACAUGGCACCGUGUUACUCUUGUAUUCGCCCUUCCAGAAUCACCAGACUGUUCUCCAGUCUGAAGAAUGCAGAUUCUCCUACAAGGAUGCAGGCAUCACUACUACCUUGAAAGGCUAAAGCCCAAGGCCUCGGAUGAGCCAGAAGGCAUGAAGGGAAAUGAUGAGUGUGUCUGUGACACUGAAGACAGAGUUUUUUUGGGUUUAGCUUUUUAUUUUAGAGAGAGAGAGAGAGAGAGAGAAGGCAUGCA